rnacentral:piRNA from 1 species
UGUUUGUAGCGUUGCUAUGACAGAAGCAAU